GGUUGGAUCUCUGUAACAAAAGACAGAUUAACCGGAGAAAAGCAUACCAGUUUAUUUAAUAUAAGUUUUAUGUAACAGGGGAGCCUUCAUAAGGAAGUGAAGACCCAAAGAAGCAGUUAAACCUGAGUGUUUUUAUACUGGAUUGAUGAAAAGUAGGAUGUCAUGGAAAAAUGUGAAAGGAAAAAAAGGGUAUGAGACAACUGAGGUCACAAGGCAAAUUGCCACCAGAAACCUGAAGACAGGUUCAUCCCGAGAGACACAGGUUCUCAUUGUGAAGAUCCAAGGCAGAUCCCUGUGGCUCUGGCAGGAGGAGGGGAAUAGUAACCACUGAGAAAGAAACCAACAGUUUUAACCACAGCAAAGGAUUGGUCUCCUUGGGAAAAGACUUUUUCAGAGCCAGAUCCCAGCUGGUGGAAGGGGAUUCCUCUCACUCCACUCGCCCUCCAGGCUUCCUGUUUCAUCUAAAGAGGGGAAACAAAACAAAAACACAAAUAAAGUCAACAGAAAUCAGGGCUUCAAGGAAAUAUAUUUAGAUUGUGAAAGGUUGCAGCCAG